AUGAAGGAAUCCGGUGUAAUUAAUGAAAAAAAUAUUGAGGAAUCAAAGGUAGCUCUAGUCUAUGGCCAAAUGAAUGAACCACCGGGAGCUCGUAUGAGAGUUGGUUUAACUGCCCUAACUAUGGCGGAAUAUUUUCGAGAUGUUAAUAAGCAAGACGUGCUUUUAUUUAUCGAUAAUAUCUUUCGUUUUGUUCAAGCAGGAUCAGAGGUAUCCGCUUUAUUUGGGAGAAUGCCCUCCGCAGUGGGUUAUCAACCUACUCUUAGUACAGAAAUGGGUUCUUUGCAAGAAAGAAUUGCUUCUACUGAAAAGGGAUCUAUAACUUUGAUUCAAGAAGUUUAUGUACCUGCACACGAUUUGACCGACCCUGCCCCUGCCACAACAUUUGCACAUUUGGAUGCUACUACCGUACUUUCCAGAGGAUUAGCUUCCAAGGGUAUUUAUACAGCAGUAGAUCCUUUAGAUUCAACCUCGACUAUGUUACAGCCUCUGAUCGUUGGCAACGAACAUUAUGAAACUGCGCAAAGAGUUAAGGAAAGUUUACAACGUUACAAAGAACUUCAGGACAUUAUCGCAAUUCUUGGCUUGGAUGAAUUAUCGGAAGAGGAUCAUUUAACUGUAGCAAGAGCAAGAAAAAUUGAGCGUUUCUUAUCACAACCGUUCUUUGUGGCAGAAGUUUUUACUGGUUCUCCAGGAAAUGGCCAAAUUGGCGUCUUACCAAACCACGCCCCCAUUAACAUAGCAGUAGAUAUGGGUCCUUUGAGAAUACGCCUCCUCAACGACCAAUGGUUAACAGCGGUUCUGUGGAGCGGUUUUGCGAGAAUAGUUAAUAAUGAGAUCAUCAUUUUAGGAAAUGAUGCGGAACUGGGUAGUGAUAUUGAUCCGGAAGAAGCUCAGAAGGCACUUGAAAUAGCCGAAGCUAACUUGAGUAAAGCUGAGGGUACGAAAGAUUUGGUUGAAGCGAAGCUCGCUCUCAGACGAGCUAGGAUACGAAUCGAGGCUAUCAAUUGGAUUCCCCCAUCCAAUUGA
rnacentral:rRNA from 1 species